rnacentral:lncRNA from 1 species
CCCCAAGAAAGCCCUGCUAUUUUCAUGGAGAAACUCAGAGAGGCAAUGAGAAAACACACCACUGUGGAUCCUGAAUCCACAGAGGGCCAAUUACUUUUAAAGGACAAAUUUAUCACUCAGUCAGCCCCAGACAUCCGGAGGAAGUUACAAAAAUUGGCAUAUGGCCCUGAUCAAUCUUUAGAUAACAUCUUCCGACUUGCUACUUUGGUUUUUUAUAAUAGAGAUAUAGAGGGGAAAAAGGAGAAAGAGCUCAGAGACAGAAAAAGAACUGAAGCUCUUAGAGGAGUAAGCUCCCAGGGUGAAGGAGGAAGAUGAAAUGCUCCUCAACC